rnacentral:tRNA from 1 species
GCCUGGGUGGCUCAGUAGAUUGAGCAGCUGACUUGGGCUCAGGUCAUGAUCUCAUGGUUCGUGGGUUCGAGCCUCACGUCAGGCU